CACGUAGGGUGCGAGCGUUGUCCGGAAUUAUUGGGCGUAAAGGGUAGGUAGGUGGUCUCAUUUGUCUGGGGUGAAAGCCUUGAGCUUAACUCAAGAAGUGCCCCAGAAACGGUGAGACUAGAGUUCUGGAGAGGGUCGUGGAAUUCCCGGUGUAGCGGUGAAAUGCGUAGAGAUCGGGAGGAACACCAGAGGCGAAGGCGGCGACCUGGACAGAUACUGACACUCAACUACGAAAGCGUGGGGAGCAAACAGG
rnacentral:rRNA from 1 species